rnacentral:rRNA from 1 species
UACGUAGGGUGCGAGCGUUAAUCGGAAUUACUGGGCGUAAAGCGUGCGCAGGCGGGCUUUUAAGCCAGACGUGAAAUCCCCGGGCUCAACCUGGGAACUGCAUCCGAGACUGCAUUGCUAGAGUAUGGGAGAGGGAAGCGGAAUUUCUGGUGUAGCAGUGAAAUGCGUAGAUAUCAGAAGGAACAUCAGUGGCGAAGGCGGCUUCCUGGACCAAUACUGACGAUCAGGUGCGAAAGCGUGGGGAGCAAACAGG